GACGAACGCUGGCGGCGUGCUUAACACAUGCAAGUCGAGCGACGCUCUUCCUUCGGGGAGAUGACGGAGCGGCGAACGGGUGAGUAACACGUGGGCAACCUGCCCCUAGCUCUGGGACAACACCGGGAAACCGGUGCUAAUACCGGAUACGACAUCGAGCGGCAUCUCUCGAUGUGGAAAGUUUUUUCGGCUAGGGAUGGGCCCGCGGCCUAUCAGCUUGUUGGUGGGGUAAUGGCCCACCAAGGCGACGACGGGUAGCCGGCCUGAGAGGGCGACCGGCCACACUGGGACUGAGACACGGCCCAGACUCCUACGGGAGGCAGCAGUGGGGAAUAUUGCGCAAUGGGCGAAAGCCUGACGCAGCGACGCCGCGUGAGGGAGGACGGCCUUCGGGUUGUAAACCUCUUUCAGCAGGGACGAAUUCAGACGGUACCUGCAGAAGAAGCACCGGCCAACUACGUG
rnacentral:rRNA from 1 species